rnacentral:rRNA from 1 species
UACGAAGGGGGCUAGCGUUAUUCGGAAUCACUGGGCGUAAAGCGCGUGUAGGCGGACAUACAAGUCAGGGGUGAAAUCCCGGAGCUUAACUUCGGAACUGCCUUUGAAACUGUAUGUCUUGAGCUCGUUAGAGGGUGGUGGAAUUCUCAGUGUAGAGGUGAAAUUCGUAGAGAUUGAGAGGAACACCGGUGGCGAAGGCGACCACCUGGGACGUAGCUGACGCUGAGACGCGAAAGCGUGGGGAGCGAACGGG